rnacentral:rRNA from 1 species
GUCGGCUCUUCCCAUCCUGGGGGUGCAGCAGCCCCCAAGGGUGGGGCUGCCCGCCCAUUAAAGGGGAACGUGAGCUGGGUUUAGACCGUCGUGAGACAGGUCGGACUCUACCCACGGGGGGUGUGGGCCGCCUGAGGGGAAGGCAACCUCAGUACGAGAGGAACGGGUUGCCGCGGUCUCUGGUGUAGCAGCCGUCCGGCAGGGCGUAUGCUGCAUAGCUACACCGUAGGGGGUAACCGCUGAAAGCAUCUAAGCGGGAACCCCUCCCCGAAAAGAGGCGGCCGUUCCUAGGCAGGAAACCCUGCCUAGGAGGAGGGCUCCCGUAGAAGACGGGGUUGAUGGGGCGGAGGUGUAAGCCCUGAGAGCCCUACGGCUCGAAGGGUUCAGCCUACCGCUCCCAAUCGCCCGA